ensembl:lncRNA
GGGGGAAUGUGUGGAUUAUGGUACAUUAGAAUAGGUAUGAUCUAGAAAACUACUUGAAGCACCAUCUACAGAAAAAUGAGGACUUUCUGUCGUUAAUAGCUGCCCUUUUGAAGGUAAUGGGCAUUCCAUUGCGGGGCUGUAAAUGCCGAGUGUGGACUCCAAAGGAGUGGGGCUUUGGUGCUUCCAGUGUUUGCUUUCUUCCGCGUUGAUCAAAGACCAAUGCGUUUGCCUUAUGAGGCCCCACUGGAAAAUGUUUUUAGAGCAAUUACAGACGUGACAAUCAUCAGUUCAGCUUAUUUCUUUCACCCUAAGAAACAUUACGGGAAAAAAGAAGAAAGAAACCUUUAAAUAAAGACAAAGGAGAGGGAAAGAGGGCUACUGCGGGUUAAGUGUAGACACUUCAAGAGGAAAAAGUUUGGUCCUCACUCUCCCACUCUCUAAGUCCUGCGAUACUGGUCCUUGUUUUGAAUUAAAAUGGGGCAGCCUUCUUUGGUGGCCAGCAGGGUCCUUGUUAUUUAAGAUGGAGAAGCUUCACGGCGACAUUGGGGGAGGGGUGAUGUUAACUGUGCGGGAGAAACGGAGCUGCGAAAAACAGUUCAGGAAAUUGAAACGGUCGGGUGAGGUGAUAGUGGAAAAUUGCAUUCUUAGUUUCUAAGUGACUUCUGUUACUUGUCCAGAAUCCAUAAGCAAGAAUCAAGAUUUUUGUUUUCUCUUAAAAAGUAACCUCUGCUGAGUACAGGAGUCGAUACUUGUCAAGCUUUGAAUAACAACGUGUCCCUUCUUCCUUCUAGUGGGCGUUUCUGUCUGGAUGUGGAAGGAGGACUUCGUACCGGAACUCCCCAGGCACCAGCAAAACCGUCUCUGUCUUCUUAGGAAGAGGAAACUGGGCACGUGCGGCCGGUCGGGCCAAGACCAUUACGAAGUCCUGCAAAACUCACUGAGAUCAGGCGUGAAAGAUGUCAACAAACGACCUGGGCCAAAGCAUUCCAUGUGUAGGAUUGAGUGAGGUGUCGAGAUGUGGGGGCGCUAACCCUAAACCACUAGGGCUGCGGGGCCGGGUCUCACCCCGACGGCUGUGCUGGACCAAGCAAAUCCCGGAUUCACACGACACCCUUUGCUGUGACCAAUGCAGACGUGCAGUUCGAUUACCACGGAAGAUCUCCGAGCUGAGUCAACUUGACCCAAACGUGUGAAUCAUUUCGUUUACCAGGGAAAAGGGGGCCCGUGACUCCCUUCACUUUAGCGGCAACAAAAAGCGUCUAGCUGUGGGCAACAGCGCGCGCGCGUGUGUGAGUGUUGGUGUCAGCGCACAUAUUCGAUUUCCAAACAUCUUUUGAAGCUGUCUUCUCAUUUGUAAUUUACAAACCCAGUAGAUUUCAAAGACCUUGAUAGUGUUAUUAGACACCUAAAUGCACUGUCACCAUUCCUCCAAAAUUAGGUUUUUGCUGUACUCUUAAAAUCCUUUGCUAAGAAAUAUGUGAACUCAUCAUCCGAAUCCUCCUAUAGGAAACAGUCAAGAAAAAUGAGUUAAAUAUAUAAUAUGACUUAGGUAGUUUUUUUUUUUUUUUUACAAAAAAAGUGAGGCACACAAAAAUAUUCCAAUAUACUGUAUGCCACCUCAUUCAGGACAGCAGAAACAUUUCACGUUCCCACAAGAAUUCUUUCUUUGCCCUAGUGUCCUCAAAGCGGCUUCUGAUAUCCCCACUUCUUAAGAAAAAUAAGUUAGUGAAAGCCUUCACCCAAGUUUUGGGUGGGAUUCAACACUAAGCAAAAUAUGCUCAACAGAUGAUAGUAGAGAUGAAGCCAGAAAACAACUCCAGCUAUUUAAACUGCCAAAUGAGACAUAAAGCUGCAUUGUAAAAAUCAUCUGGAAAACAGGUUUUCCCAUUGAAGUCGCUAUGUGUUAAUUACUGUGAGCUGGAAGGCUGGAGAUCGAACGCCUGGAAGCCGACUUUCACCCCGCAUACGUAAACGGAAAAAGUGCUGAACAGCAGCCAGAGGGCUCCUGCUCCGACUCAUUGCCAUGCAUGCCUAGACAUUAAUAUGUGUUCAUGGAGGGCUCGUACAGUACGAGGUGUUAUUUCCUUAUAAAGAAACACCAGGUCUCGCUUUCCAUUCUUCUUACAAAAUUAUUCGCAUUAUUUAUGCUACAUUGAGCGAUCUAAUUUCUUCG